CCUAAGGUUUUGAUUUGAUACUUAUAUGUUAGGAAUUAAAUUUCUAUGCAUGCUGGCAUUCACACAUAAUUUCCUUUAUAGAUAGAUACCCACAAUUCACUGCGAGCCAUGGAAAGAAGAAACAUGCUAAAUAGACACCUUAUUCUUGGCACUACAUGUGACUAAAGGAAGAUAUGGAACCCAUUUCUACAAUUUCUUUGCCGCUUCCUUGAAUUGGAAAAAUGUACUUUGAAAGAACCGUUAAGUGAACUAUUAUAAUAUUUUUGCUGACUACCCAGUUGAAGAAAAGUUUGUUAAUUGGAUGGGAUUUUUUUUUUCACGUUAGAAGACAUGAAUAAAUUUUAAAAGAUAAACAUCUAUAUUGUGAACCAUCAGCUGAAAAGAUAAAUUUGUGUUCAAUAUAUAGGCAGAAAAAAAUUUGUGUCAAAAUGUUGAAUGGAAUAAUGAGGAAACUGUGUUAGGCAUGUAUUAAAACAUUUAAAUAAAAUAAAAAUACAUUUCAGCUACAAAGUGAAGGAAAACAUUAUAAA
rnacentral:sRNA from 1 species